CCAAGCCCCCCCAACCCGUCCCAGGGGACAGCCGUGGAGGGAUCAGGGCUGUCACAUCCCAAACACAUCCCAGUCACGUCUCCCGUGACUCGGUCAGAUCCAAGGAAAAGGCGAGAAUGAAUCCCGAGCAGGCCGGGAAGGAGCGAGGAGCCUGCCUGCAGGAUUUAUGGCACUGAGCUGCCGAGCCCAGAGCAGCGCCCGCGCCGCGCGGGUCCCGCCUCAGCCCACGGAGAAAUUCCUGACUUAUUGAAUCACAUUUGUCAUCCCUAAAUACAUAUGCAGGCCCGUGUUUCUGAAUCCAUAAACAUCUUUAACUAACUCCGCUCAGCAAGGCCUCUUUCAGCAGUAAUUUAUAUUUAACUUUUUCCAUAUGCAGGGCCUGUCGCCUCGGUGUCAUUUCCGGGAAGGACGGGGGGCUGGGAGCGGGGCCGGGGGAGCGCGGCGUGUCUUGGCCCGCUGCAGCGGCCCAGCUGCUGGCACGGCGCGAGAAAUCCACCCGCCAGAGCCAGUGCUCAUUAAUCAUUUGAACUACUAAACUGCCAGCUCCUUUCAAGAUCUUUCAAGAAGUGUUUUCACCCAAAAUAGAGUUGAAAACACGCCGGGCCCUACUUUCAGAGUCUCAUCCAUCUGGCCAUUAUGGGGAGUGUCAGGCGGCUCUGACAGACAAGGCUGCUCUGUUCGAGGGGCCCCGGCCCCACAACCUGUCAUAUCGCGGGGCUGAUGGCAUCUGACAGCUCCAUUUGUACCUCCCCGGAGAUGAAAGGGCCGCUCCUGGCGGCGGGAGAAGGGCAGGGCCGCAGGGAUGAGCUGGGGCAGCCCGGGGUGCCAGCAGCAUCCCUGGCACUGUGCUGGCCCCAUGGGCAGGACACCCAGAGAUGUGUCCCCAGAGCCCAUCGCUGCCCUGGGGCUUGUGGCCACCUGGGCUGUGAUCAAAGCCAGGGGCUGUGCCCACUGCCCACCCCUGGCUGUGGUGCCAAGCUGUCCCUGUGCCCUGCUGGCACAGAGUGUCCCAGCCCUGCCCUGGCCCCCAUCUCCCCCGAACUCACCUGCAGCAUGUGGGUGGGUGCUGUGCACGCCUCCAGUGCUCAGAGCCAGUCCUCAGACCCAGCAGGACAGUCCCCAAACCCAGCAGGACAGUCCCAUGCCCCAAGGGGUUCCCCCACAGCCAGGAGGGCUCAGGGUCUGCCCCACACCGGGACAUCCCAAAAGCAGGUGAGAGCUGCCGAAUCCUGGUGCUCCCCUUGGGGUGGUCCCCAGGUAGGACCCCCCCGAGCUGCCCCAGUGCUGCAGGAUUUCUGUGCCAGCACAGCAACUUGGAAGAGCUGGAGAAUUAUCGAGGAGCAGCAGCCAUGGGGACAGAGCAUGUCCCUGCAGCCAGAGGAGCAGGCACCCAGCCAGCUCCAUCCAUCCAUCCAUCCCAGUUGUUCCCAAAGAAAACCCAACCAGAGUCCCAGAGACUGUGAGAAGCCCAGAAGGAAGGAAGGGCUUUUGGCUCCAUCUCCAUUUUGCCCAGAACAUGGCUCUUCUCACCUCCGAGGGGGACUGUCCUUCUCCAGCCCCUUGGAUGUUACUGGGACUGUGCAGGGAACGGGAACAAAACCCCACAGAGGCAACACUGCUCCAGCAGAAGGCAGGAGUCCCUUUCAGAGGAGCCCUGCCCAGAUCAGGGCUCCAGACCUGGACACCAUCCUCGGCGAUGAGCAGCCCCAUCCUUCUCAUCCAGAGAGGAAAAUACAGCAAACCUUUUGGUGCUUCACUCUGCCCUCUCCUCCCUCUGGGAAGUGCAGAGAAGACAGUGAGUGCUCAGCAAGGAAGAUCUUCAACAGUCCCCAUCUCUGUCCUGUCCUUCUCCCUCGGAGCCCCCAGCCAUGCCGCUCAUGGAGAGGUGGCACCAGGACCUGAGACUCCCACUGCUCCCGUCGCCUUUGGUGCAGCAGCUUCUCCCUCUGCCACGGAUGCACCAGUGGAGAUGCAGGGGUGCUGUGGUGGGCACCAGCACAGUCCCGAGUGCUGCUGGGGAGCCGCCCUUUGCAGCUGUAGGGAACACAAAAAAGGCCAUUUCGGUUCUCUGUUCCACUGAGGUGUCUGCAGGAAGGGUCCAUCAAGCCCCAGAAGCCACCAGAUGCCCAGGAUGCUGCAUCUUUCACCUCCUUCCAAAUUUUGCCAGGCCAGGAGGGGUGAUCCAUGAAUGUUGGGACCACAGGGUGUUGGCAAAGGUCACGUUGCACCCCGCACAGUGUCGGGUGUCCUGUCCAGCUCUGCUCAGCCUGUCGGGGCCAGCUCUGAUAGCACAGGGUCAGCAUUCCACUGUCACCUAUGGCAAAGGCACCUCCCCUGCGGGUCACAUCCUCUGUCCUGCCUCCCUGCACCACGCUGGAAGAUGGGAUGAAGUCCCAUGAAGUCCCAUGAAGCUGCUCCCGGAGGUUUCCACGAACACCCUCAGAAAACCCAAGGGUUUGUGUAAAUCUUUGUUAUUGUGACUCAAGCUCCAGGAGCCUGCUGUGUGCACGGAGCUGCCAGCAGAGCACCCUCCCCUGCUCUCCGGGGAGGUCCAGCUGAAGUGUUGGUGUGUGAGGAUCAGCACUCCUCCGUUUGUCACCGCAAUAAACAGAGGGGUGACUGUCACCCGGCCUGCAGGAAGGAGCAGGAUCGCUGCCACAACUCCGGUGUCAACCUGUGCAAGGAAACCCCAGGGCUUUGUCACCUGCCAGGGCCCUGUGCUGGACUGUCACGCUGACCAGACUCUGCACAAGAGGGAAACCAUGGCCAUGGUCACACCGGGUCACUGGUGACCAGCUGAGGCUGGGUGUCCUGGUCUGGUGAGGAACGUGUCGGCGUAUCGCUGCCAAAGCUGGAAGCGGAGCUGCUGCAGGAUUUGCACCACACACCAACCCAUGGCCAGGGCAGAGGCAGCAGCAGCUCUUCAGGCGUUAUCCAGAGCAAUGUCCACUCCUAUUCGUGGCAUUCCUGGCCGCUGCAGUGCCCCAGGUGCUUGCCCACACUCUUCUGGCCCUGGCACCUUGAGAUCUUUGUCCUUCUCCACUCACCUCGUCCAGCCUCUUGUCGCUUGUGCUGUCCCACUGCUUGGAGUGGCUGGAGGUGAACCCCCACCAGGGCAGUGUGGGGCUCUGCUGGGCACACACAGCUCCACGCACACAACUCGGUGUCACCGCCGUGUCACCGCCGCGUCACCCCGCUGCUCCAGCUGCUCCUCCGGCAGGGCUCCAGCUCACAGCCUGGCACAGGACCUCUGAUGCCACCUCCAAGCACGGCUUUGUCCCUCCAGGUCUGCUCUCAGCUCAUGCAGCACCAAGCGUGCCUCAAAGCAACGCCCUGACCCCAGGCUGGGCACGGGGGUGCUGGUGGGGGGACAGGAGAUGUUCACACCACUCUGGCUUUGAGGACAAACAGAGCCCGUGUUCUCCGUGGUUUCCAGCAGUGCUCACGUGGAAAGAAAAGCUGCUUUAUGUGGCUGAGGAACUUCUCAUCCACCCACCAUGACUCUGCUUUGGCCCAUGCCUCUGCAUCCCGACCUGACCCCUGGGCAGGCUCCAGCCCUCGAGGACGCCGCGCUCCACUCUGGACUCUGAAACGCCUUGUACGUCUGCGGGCAGCCACCUCUGCAUCACCUAAAAGACAUCGGGGAUUUUUGUGCAGAGGAGGAAGGAAAACAACAAGAAAAAAUAGGGCCUGUCUCUUUCAUUCACGUAUUUAUUGGGCGGACAGCGUGGCUGUGGUCAGCUGGGCUUCGGGCUCUACAGACGGGGAUAUUUAUAAGGCACGCGGAGCGGCUCGGCGUGUGCGUCCAAGUCAUUCCUUCCCCGGCACAGGGUAUAAUGUUGCCUUUGUUCAGCUGCCUCCGGCACGGCUGAGCGUGCCGUGCCGCUCGGCCGGGCCCCUCGCCGUGCCCGGCAGCCCCGGUGCAGCCCCGCUCCUUCCACACACGCCACGGCCCUGCAACUGCCACCAUAAAUCAAUAGGAAAGGAGAGGCUGCCAGUUAGACUAAACAAGUGCAUUUGCGAGGAUUGCUAUCCCUCAUUAAUCACUCUGACAGUCCUAAAAACACAUUUCCCCUUUAAUGACUGUAUUUGGAUAAUCAGAGCUUUUUCCUCCCUGCGCGGGGUGAGUGACGGUGGGCGCGACUUCGGCAAGCGCCGGCACCGGGGUCACCGGCGAGUCAAGUGCUGCAGGUCCCCGGCAGCUCGGGGCCAGCUGGGGAAGGAAGGAGCCACC
rnacentral:lncRNA from 1 species